GUUUGUUAUCCUGUUUCCCCGGCCUUCCCAUAAUGCUCUAUAAACGUUUGCGGGGCGUUAUGGGAAGGUCAGGAAAACGGGCUAUUUGUUUUAUAUCAGUAAGAGGUGAAGAUAUGAAGAUUGAUUAGAAGUAUAAAAGUUAUCUGGUGACGCCCAGUUUUAUUGAUGGAAGAGAGAACCCAGAUACAAUGUACCUGGGAAGAGACCACCAACCUUCCGCAAGUAAACUGGGGAUCUUUGUGAGUUACCGGCGCGAGCGGUAUUCGAACCCGUGCUGACCAGAGAGUUCCUUGAACGAAUCUACGGAAGAAAUACCCUGUGAAAAUGCAACAGACCCCUUCAAAGUUUUUAAUGGUACCCC